rnacentral:rRNA from 1 species
UACGUAGGGGGCGAGCGUUGUCCGGAAUCAUUGGGCGUAAAGCGCGUGUAGGCGGCUCGGUAAGUCUGCUGUGAAAGUCCAGGGCUCAACCCUGGAAUGCCGGUGGAUACUGUCGAGCUUGAGUCCGGAAGAGGCGAGUGGAAUUCCUGGUGUAGCGGUGAAAUGCGCAGAUAUCAGGAGGAACACCAAUGGCGAAGGCAGCUCGCUGGGACGUGACUGACGCUGAGACG